CCCUCACACUGUUGGGGGCUAUUGGCAGGUGGUCGGUGGCUUUGGACAGAUCUAAUCCAGCCUUAUAUCCUGUGGGAUCUCAAAGCCUGUUAACAGAGAACAGGGCUAGUUCUGCUCAUCUCUGCCACCUGUGUCCUGCUCCUAGAGGUUUUCUAUUUGUGGAUAAACGCAAGAAGCAACAAGUUUGUGGUUCUGACUGGCCUGGGAGCAGCUCUUUCCAGAGAUACGGGUACCCAGACAGCAUUCGAGAGCUCAACCAGGUAUGUGUGAUCUGGACCCUGCAGGUCGCCUCCUCACAGGUUCUGACAGCGGAGAUGCCCGAGCCGCUGAGUUUGUUUUGUUUUGAACUGCAAUCCAGCAGAUCCCACGCUUUGCUCCAGGCUGGCUGGGCUGCUCUGCAGAUGAUCUUGCAAUGUUAUGACAGUCCAGAGAGCCAUUAUUCCGAGCGCUUGCCAAUCACCAGACUGCUGCCAGUCUGUGUCAAAUGAAGCAUCCCAGGCCCUGUCACAUUAAAUCCAGCAGCUCUUUCAUUUAGGGUAGAGCAGUUUGUUUAUUUGUGUUCCCUCCCCUCCUUUUGGGAUGCCAUACUCAAUCAUCUCAGGGGUUUGCUCUGCCUGUACGGAGCCUGUAACCACAGCGAAACUCAGUGCCCCUUAAAGGGCCCCUCGUCCUGGGGCAAGCGAUGCUGUUGAGUGUUUUGCUGUGGUUUUGUUUUGGAAAGAGAUGGGUGUAAAUAAGGGGGAAGGCGCAGAACACUGGUGUGGCUGGGAGCGCUGUUCCAGAUCCGUCCUCGUCAGCCAGUCGCACCAGUUCAAGGGCAGGUUGCCUCAGCCCGAUGAAUUGCGCAGCUGCUGUGUUCUGUUGUAAACGAGAAUAAAAGGUGCGGAGUAGCGUCACAUCUGUUUGCACCAGUCAAGGCUGUGCAGCACUUCUAUGCCUCAGUUUCCCUGCUUUGAGGGAGGAGUGGGGAGUAACCCACUCUCUGGAAAGGGGAAGAUCAAGCCAUCUGGAGCGGGGGCUUCUCGACUCUGCUGCUGCUCAGGCAGAAGUGACUCAAAUGGUCCAGUUCAUGCAGGAACUGAUGGUGGAGGCUGUGGAGAAAGGUCUGUACAGAAUGGAGAAAAGAAGGGAAAAAUGGUGAUGAGCUGGCUGGAAAUGAAUACAGGGAUGGAUCAGGAUACUGCACGCAGUAUUCCUCAGUCAUCAGUUCAGAUUACCCUGGCCCUGCAGGAAAGCCUCUUGAAUCAAGUCUCUCUAUGUAGAGGAUGUGAAGCCUGGUCAGCUUCUAUUACCUUCUUAGCUUGGGAGAACAGGAAAAAGAUAUUUAUUCUUUUAUUCAUUUAUUCAUUUAUAAUGCAUCUGCUGUAAGAGGUGGUUCAUUUCUUGUCAUUACUUGCUUUGGUGUUUAAAUUGCUUCCUGUAGGAUUUGAAUUCAGAUGUUAUGAUGGUUUUUUUUCCCUUUACAAGAAUUAAAAGCAAAUGCACAGUUAAAAAACAGAGUUCCAGGGCUUCCAAUCAUUUGACAGAAUGAAGUCUGCAAGCCAAAUUAACUGCGCUUCCUCAUUACUGUUGUCACUUUGUGUGCUGCCUGAAUGCUCUUGAA